UACGAAGGGGGCUAGCGUUGCUCGGAAUCACUGGGCGUAAAGGGCGCGUAGGCGGCCGGCCAAGUCGGGGGUGAAAGCCUGUGGCUCAACCACAGAAUGGCCCUCGAUACUGGACGGCUCGAGACCGGAAGAGGUUGGUGGAAUUGCGAGUGUAGAGGUGAAAUUCGUAGAUAUUCGCAAGAACACCGGUGGCGAAGGCGGCCAACUGGUCCGGAUCUGACGCUGAGGUGCGAAAGCGUGGGGAGCAAACAGG
rnacentral:rRNA from 1 species